rnacentral:rRNA from 1 species
CCCCAGAAGAGCCCCGGUUACUCCGUCCAAGCAGCCGCGGUAAUACGGAGGGUGCAAGCUUUAUUGGAAUUACUGGGCGUAAAGCGCACGCAGGCGUUUUUUAAGUCAGAUGUGAAUUCCCCGGGCUUAACCUGGGAACUGCAUUUGAAACUGGCAGGCUUGAGUCUUGUAGAGGGGGGUAGAAUUCCAGGUGUAGCGGUGAAAUGCGUAGAGAUCUGGAGGAAUACCGGUGGCGAAGGCGGCCCCCUGGACAAAGACUGACGCUCAGGUGCGAAAGCGCGGGGAGCAAACAGGAUUAGAUACCCUGGUAGUCCACGCCGUAAACGAUGUCGACUUGGAGGCUGUGCCCUUGAGGCGUGGCUUCCGGAGCUAACGCGUUAAGUCGACCGCCUGGGGAGUACGGCCGCAAGGUUAAAACUCAAAUGAAUUGACGGGGGCCCGCACAAGCGGUGGAGCACGUGGUUUAAUUCGAUGCAACGCGAAGAACCUUACCUACUCUUGACAUCCACGGAAUUCGGCAGAGAUGCCUUAGUGCCUUCGGGAACCGUGAGACAGGUGCUGCAUGGCUGUCGUCAGCUCGUGUUGUGAAAUGUUGGGUUAAGUCCCGCAACGAGCGCAACCCUUAUCCUUUGUUGCCAGCGAUUCGGUCGGGAACUCAAAGGAGACUGCCGGUGAUAAACCGGAGGAAGGUGGGGAUGACGUCAAGUCAUCAUGGCCCUUACGAGUAGGGCUACACACGUGCUACAAUGGCGCAUACAAAGAGAAGCGACCUCGCGAGAGCAAGCGGACCUCACAAAGUGCGUCGUAGUCCGGAUCGGAGUCUGCAACUCGACUCCGUGAAGUCGGAAUCGCUAGUAAUCGUGGAUCAGAAUGCCACGGUGAAUACGUUCCCGGGCCUUGUACACACCGCCC